AACGCACGAGACCUGCGGACCUGCGGAAGGAUCAUUAACAAGUUUGUCUGGACCGCGUCAGCGGGACAGUGGGGGCGAGGGGCGUUAGCGCGAGGGGCGUUGGCCCCGAGUCACUCAUUAAGGGGCGCCUGUGAGGGCGUUCGCUCUUGCGAGUGGGCAAAGCAUCUAGCUAGCCUGUCUUGCAAGAGACUGAGACGAGAGUGAGUUGAGCUUUAUUACUACAACAUUACAACAUCAUAA
rnacentral:misc_RNA from 1 species